GUACCCUCUAGCCAUCGACGCGUACGGGUGUUGGGAGACAUAGCCCGGAGAUGGAUUCUGAGACACGAAUCCAGACCCUACGGGGUGCAGCAGGCGCGAAAACUUGGCAAUGCGAGAAAUCGUGACCAGGGAACUCCAAGUGGCUGGGGUAAGACCCAGUCUUUUCUUGACUCUUCAAAGGUCUUGGAAUAAGGGGUGGGUAAGGACGGUGCCAGCCGCCGCGGUAAUACCGGCGCCUCAAGUGGUAGUCGAUUUUAUUGGGCCUAAAACGUCCGUAGCCUGUUUGGUACAUUCGUGGGUAAAUCAACCAGCUCAACUGAUUGAAUUCUGCGAGCACGGCCAAACUUGGGACCGGGAGAGGUGUGGGGUACGCUCAGGGUAGGGGUAAAAUCCUGUCAUCCUGAGCGGACCACCUGUUGCGAAGGCGCCACACUAGAACGGAUCCGACGGUCAGGGACGAAGCCUAGGGGCACGAACCGGAUUAGAUACCCGGGUAGUCCUAGGUGUAAACGCUGUGGACUUGGUGUUGGGGACUCUCCGAGAUUCCUCAGUGCCGAAGCGAAGGUGAUAAGUCCACUGCCUGGGGAGUACGGUCGCAAGGCUGAAACUUAAAGGAAUUGGCGGGGGAGCACCGCAACCUGAGGAUUGUGCGGUUUAAUUG
rnacentral:rRNA from 1 species